rnacentral:lncRNA from 1 species
AGCGAGGUACAUGUCUCAAUGGUUGCAAGGUUCCAUCAAGCCGCUGCUCGUCUUCCGAGUGUCGCUCGGGUGUGUCCUUGCAACUGCCAUGAGGGAGACCUCGCGGAAAUGGUGGAACGUAAGAACCUCUGGCAAAAAGAAAGUAGAUCUCUCUGGAGUGUGGCUUAGUAUUGUCUGGUAGAAAUUCAACCCUACGCAUGUGCCGAGCCCAUGCUUAUUAUUGUCUUUUCGAGCCAUGCGGCGCGAGUCCUUGAGUGAAAAAAGUACGCGCGCAGAUGCGUAGGCAUAUGUGAUCGGUGAUGCAUCAGAUGUGUACACGCCAAAACGUGCGCUUUUGAAGCGUGUAUUCGUUCAUGUGGAUAGGUUAGCUUCAAAAACUGUGUGUCGUGCCUUUCCAUUUUCUUCGCUGGCUGCCUCCUCUUGCCGCUGCUUCGAUUGUUCGCUAUAGGGGCGACGCCGUCUUGGUCCUCACCACGUAUAUUGCCCGUGCCCUGUUUUGUCGUUUCUGUGCCCAGCGACCUGGGGCAGUCAUGACCCUAACUAGCCCGAGUGGGCAGUCUUCUGCUUGUGUUUUGGUCUUUUUCGUCGGAGGCGUAGAAUUUCCUGGCAAGGGUUUUCGGACGGAUUUUCUCUAGGCGGAUUUCUCGGUCCGACCGCUGGGAUCUCUGUCGGACGAGAUCCGAGGUAACCCCUCGCUGCUCGUCUUCCCGGGCAUAUGGCCCCUCGCUGUUCCUCGGGGGGGGGCAUGCAGAUAUCUCCACAAAUGUGCAGCGGUGACCAGUUAUCAUUUUCCCCACUGUCCUUUCUCGGCCCCAGGGAUUCUCUCCGGUCUGUGUCUUCUUUGUCGCUUUUCUAUCCGAAUUCUAUGUCGAUCCCAGGUGCCCACGAAGCACGUGCAGAGGUGUAGACUGCGGAAAUUCUGGACACAGGCAACCUGCCCAGCAAUCCGUACGCGACGCCCCUCUGGGAAGCACUUCGCCAGCGGGGGGGUGGGCGAUCCGUAAGAGCACUGGUGCUCCACAUCGUGUGUGGGUUGGCCACUUGCGCAAUUUCUCUGCGUUUCCACUUUCCCAAGGCCACACCCACUUCUGAAACUCCGCGAACUCCCCCAAAAUAGUAUCAUCUAGCGUCCAACCCGACACAACAGCGUACACUCUCUUUGGUCACCCU